UGAGGUAUGACCAAAAAUGACACAGUACAAUGGCUUCACAAAAAUUCGGACAUUUUUGAAAUAUAUAACAAGAAAAACCUUUUUGUUAGACAAACUGAAGAGGACCUGAAAAGUAAAGCAACAGCAAACAGAGAGAUGGAGAACACAAGUCUUCUUCCACUUCAAACCUCAAGAAACACUAAAGUGAGAUAAACUGGACAAACAUUUACCUUAGCAAAACUCUCAUCAUUGCGAGGAAGCGAUUCUUCAACAGCAGGAAGGUUUGCGUGACAUGAAAGAGCGAAUCAGAGCUCUAGAACAGAAGUGGCCUAGCAAGCAUCUGUCCCAGCAGGGGGAGCCAGAGAAACAGGGUCAGAUGAAGACUCAGAGACUUCAGAGAUCUGCAGCUUGGAGAGGAUCCAACAGUUCUGUGUACCUGGAGCUAGUGCGUGUGCUGCAUGAGGCCCUGGAGCUCAGCAACGUUGAGCUGUCAGGAUGUGCUAGUUUAAAGCACCUACCUCCUGAUGAGAGACAGCACAUAGUCUCUAUGAGACAAACAGACCUGGAGUUUGUGAGAACCCGCCUUGAUCUACAGAACAGACAAAGC
ensembl:lncRNA